rnacentral:lncRNA from 1 species
UAUUGCAUGUACUAACAAUGUUAUAUCUUUUGUUUUGUUCAUUUAUGUUAUACCUUCACUCUUAGAGAGUUGGGGAAGAUACUUUGCAUUUACCUUUUCCUUUCGUCUGUCUGUCUACCUGUUCAUCAAACAAUUUUUUCUUCAGUAUUACCUAAAAAGAAUAACUUUAUAUUUAAUCAGCACUUCAACAUUGAUGAGUUUCUACUGGUGAGGACUUUUUGGAUCUGUACAACACCUACUUCUUGUUUUCUAGUUCUUUGAAUUACUAGUGGGGGUAUGCUUAUAUAACAGAACCACAUUGCAUGCAUUUUUGUUUACAUGUGUUUAGGUUUUUUAUUAGUUACAUGUGUCUUUGUUUGUUAUUUUAUUUGUUGAAGCGUAGAUGACUAAAGAGCCUGGCUUUGAACAUCUAUUGUUAAAGUAUUUUUUACAUAUAUAUAUUAGUCUUUAUAGGCAUCAGAAUUCCACAUGUUUUGUAUAAAUAUACCUGAUAAGUGAUGGUAGGUAUAAAACAUACAAAUUGAAAUCGUUAACUUUUAUUAACAGAAAGUUUGUCUCAUAUAUAUAUAGUGUAUCCUUGUAAUAGUGACCAUUUUUGGGCUAAGCCACCAAUAGUUAUAGAUUCUAUAUAUUUAUAAGAAAGGUUCUUUAUCAAUACAAUCUAAAUAUAUAGUUCAUUACAGUUCUUUCACAUUGAGUUCACAGCAAUCUACCUUAUGAGAUGUCUUAAGAUUUUGUCAAUCAUUCAUUUAUUUAUUUAUCUAUUACAUUAUAAUUCCGAC